rnacentral:rRNA from 1 species
GACGAACGUUGGCGGCGUGCUUAAUACAUGCAAGUCAACUGAAGCAGUGGUAGCAAUAUCGCUGUGGAGGUGGCGCACGGGUGAGUAACACGUAGGUAAUCUGCCUUCAGGUCUGGCAUAACUCCGGGAAACCGGGGCUAAUAGCAGAUGAUGCAGCGGCUCGACAUCGAGACAGUUGUUAAAGCUAUGGCGCCUGAAGAUGAGCCUGCGUCUGAUUAGCUAGUUGGCGGGGUAACGGCCCACCAAGGCAACGAUCAGUAGCUGGUCUGAGAGGAUGAUCAGCCACACUGGAACUGAGACACGGUCCAGACUCCUACGGGAGGCAGCAGUAAGGAAUAUUGCUCAAUGGGAGAAAUCCUGAAGCAGCAACGCCGCGUGAGGGACGAAGGGCUUUUGCUUGUAAACCUCUGUAGUGAGAGAAAAAAAUCCCAAUCUUUGGGACAUGAUGGUAUCUCAAAAGUAAGCCCCGGCUAACUACGUGC